rnacentral:rRNA from 1 species
UACGUAGGGGGCAAGCGUUGUCCGGAUUUAUUGGGCGUAAAGAGCGUGUAGGCGGUUUGGUAGGUCCGCUGUGAAAACUCGAGGCUCAACCUCGAGACGCCGGUGGAAACCAUCAGACUAGAGUCCGGAAGAGGAGAGUGGAAUUCCUGGUGUAGCGGUGAAAUGCGCAGAUAUCAGGAAGAACACCCGUGGCUACGGCGGCUCUCUAGUACGGUACUGACGCUGAGACGCGAAAGCGUGGGGAGCGAACAGG